GACGAACGCUGGCGGCGCGCUUAACACAUGCAAGUCGAACGGUAAGGCCCUUCGGGGUACACGAGUGGCGAACGGGUGAGUAACACGUGGGUGAUCUGCCCUGCACUUCGGGAUAAGCCUGGGAAACUGGGUCUAAUACCGGAUAGGACUCCGGACUGCAUGGUCUGGGGUGGAAAGCUUUUGCGGUGUGGGAUGGGCCCGCGGCCUAUCAGCUUGUUGGUGGGGUGAUGGCCUACCAAGGCGACGACGGGUAGCCGGCCUGAGAGGGUGACCGGCCACACUGGGACUGAGAUACGGCCCAGACUCCUACGGGAGGCAACAGUGGGGAAUAUUGCACAAUGGGCGCAAGCCUGAUGCAGCGACGCCGCGUGAGGGAUGACGGCCUUCGGGUUGUAAACCUCUUUCAGCAUCGACGAAGCGAAAGUGACGGUAGGUGCGGAAGAAGGACCGGCCAACUACGUGCCAGCCGCCGCGGUAA
rnacentral:rRNA from 1 species